rnacentral:rRNA from 1 species
UCAGAGUGAACGCUGGCGGCGUGCCUAAUACAUGCAAGUCGAACGAUGAAGCUUCUAGCUUGCUAGAAGUGGAUUAGUGGCGCACGGGUGAGUAACGCAUAGGUUAUGUGCCCUUUAGUCUGGGAUAGCCACUGGAAACGGUGAUUAAUACUGGAUACUCCUUACGAGGGAAAGGGACUCUCAAAUAAAAAUUCAGUUUGUGGCGGCUUUUUAAGGAGUGAGAACAUUGCUUCACUGCGGCGUAUAUUUAAUACGCCUCAUUCGCAAUAACCUCACAACCUUAAAAUUCACACACAACCUUAGAAUUUUUCAAUGCUUUGUAGAUUUUGUAGGAUUCUAGGGUUUUAGAUGAGAAAUACUUGUUGUGCAGGAAAAAUCGUAGCGUAGCAUACUCCUUGUAUGUGAGCGAGAUUUUUACAAACUCAAGUAUUUAUCGCUAAAAACCGAAUUCUUAUUUGAGAGUCUCCGCUAAAGGAUCAGCCUAUGUCCUAUCAGCUUGUUGGUGAGGUAAUGGCCCACCAAGGCUAUGACGGGUAUCCGGCCUGAGAGGGUGAUCGGACACACUGGAACUGAGACACGGUCCAGACUCCUACGGGAGGCAGCAGUAGGGAAUAUUGCUCAAUGGGGGAAACCCUGAAGCAGCAACGCCGCGUGGAGGAUGAAGGUUUUAGGAUUGUAAACUCCUUUUGUGAGAGAAGAUAAUGACGGUAUCUCACGAAUAAGCACCGGCUAACUCCGUGCCAGCAGCCGCGGUAAUACGGAGGGUGCAAGCGUUACUCGGAAUCACUGGGCGUAAAGAGUGCGCAGGCGGGCUUGUAAGUCAGAUGUGAAAUCCUGUAGCUUAACUACAGAACUGCAUUUGAAACUAUGAGUCUAGAGUGUGGGAGAGGUAGGUGGAAUUCUUGGUGUAGGGGUAAAAUCCGUAGAUAUCAAGAGGAAUACUCAUUGCGAAGGCGACCUACUGGAACAUUACUGACGCUCAUGCACGAAAGCGUGGGGAGCAAACAGGAUUAGAUACCCUGGUAGUCCACGCCCUAAACGAUGAAUGCUAGUUGUUGUGGAGCUUGUCUCUGCAGUAAUGCAGCUAACGCAUUAAGCAUUCCGCCUGGGGAGUACGGUCGCAAGAUUAAAACUCAAAGGAAUAGACGGGGACCCGCACAAGCGGUGGAGCAUGUGGUUUAAUUCGAAGAUACGCGAAGAACCUUACCUAGGCUUGACAUUGAUAGAAUUUGCUAGAGAUAGCGGAGUGCCCUUUUAGGGAGCUUGAAAACAGGUGCUGCACGGCUGUCGUCAGCUCGUGUCGUGAGAUGUUGGGUUAAGUCCCGCAACGAGCGCAACCCUCGUCCUUAGUUGCUAGCAGUUCGGCUGAGCACUCUAAGGAGACUGCCUUCGUAAGGAGGAGGAAGGUGAGGACGACGUCAAGUCAUCAUGGCCCUUACGCCUAGGGCUACACACGUGCUACAAUGGGGUGCACAAAGAGACGCAAUACUGCGAAGUGGAGCAAAUCUCUAAAACAUCUCUCAGUUCGGAUUGUAGUCUGCAACUCGACUACAUGAAGCUGGAAUCGCUAGUAAUCGCAAAUCAGCCAUGUUGCGGUGAAUACGUUCCCGGGUCUUGUACUCACCGCCCGUCACACCAUGGGAGUUGUAUUCGCCUUAAGUCGGAAUACUAAAUUGGUUACCGCCCACGGCGGAUGCAGCGACUGGGGUG